rnacentral:rRNA from 1 species
ACGCUGGCGGCGUGCCUAAUACAUGCAAGUCGAACGCUUCUUUCCUCCCGAGUGCUUGCACUCAAUUGGAAAGAGGAGUGGCGGACGGGUGAGUAACACGUGGGUAACCUACCCAUCAGAGGGGGAUAACACUUGGAAACAGGUGCUAAUACCGCAUAACAGUUUAUGCCGCAUGGCAUAAGAGUGAAAGGCGCUUUCGGGUGUCGCUGAUGGAUGGACCCGCGGUGCAUUAGCUAGUUGGUGAGGUAACGGCUCACCAAGGCCACGAUGCAUAGGCCGA